rnacentral:rRNA from 1 species
GGUGAACGCUGGCGGUAGGCCUAACACAUGCAAGUCGAGCGGAAGCACGAUAAGCGCGUUCCUCUAAGGUUAGCGACUGACGGACGGGUAAGAAAUAGAUCACAAUCUACUUAUUCGGGGAGGACUUCGUGGGGACGCUGCCACUACUACCGCAUAUGAUCUACGGGUGAAUGCAGUAGAGCUUCGGAGCUUUCGCGAUUCAUUGAGCCGAUGCCGGAUUAGCUAGUUGGCGGGGUAAGGGCCCACCAAGGCGACGAUCCGUAGCUGGUCUGAGAGGAUGAUCAGCCACACUGGAACUGAGACACGGUCCAGACUCCUACGGGAGGCAGCAGUGGGGAAUAUUGGACAAUGGGCGCAAGCCUGAUCCAGCCAUACCGCGUGGGUGAAGAAGGCCUUCGGGUUGUAAAGCCCUUUUGUUGGGAAAGAAAAGCAGCAGGUUAAUACCCCGCUGUUCUGACGGUACCCAAAGAAUAAGCACCGGCUAACUUCGUG